rnacentral:rRNA from 3 species
UUCCCGUAGGUGAACCUGCGGAAGGAUCAUG